ACUUAGUGCAGUACGAUGCACGUAGUGAGAGACCAGGAAAUUCAGCAACAGAAUCACUGACAGAACAGGUCUAGAAGGAGAUCAUCACAAACUAAACAGGACCCCAAUGGCCAUGAACAGCAGAACCCGCUUAACUGCUGCCUGAAACGUAUUCAAAGAGAUGAAAGUACAGAAGAGUUCUAGCCUAAAGCCCAACAGCAACCGUGGAGAGUCCAGGAACCAACUCAUCAGCCCUGUCAGAGCUCAUCAAAGAUGAGAUGUCUUCCAAUUGUGAAAUCAGCUCAGCACAGAAGAGAUGAGCGUGUGUACUACUUUCCAAAAGAGGAAGUGGAUUCAGAAAACUACUUAUUUUGAUGGGUCAGUGAGAAAACAACAAAAACAACAACUCUGUAAACUACUUAGAGGUUUAUUCUGAGUGAAUAUGAGUGACCAUGGCAUGGAGAACAGUAUCAACAGGUUCUGAGAAAGUAUGCCUGAAGUGGUCAGGUUACAGUUUGGUUUUUAUGUUUUAGGGAUACAGGAACUGUAAGUAAAAUCAUAAAUAAGUGCAUUAAAAAUGUACAUUGGUUCAGCCUAAAGAGCCUGGAUGUUUUGAAGGUGAAGUGAGGCUGACAGGUUGUAAGUGGAUUCAAAGAUUUUCUGAUUGUCACUUGGUUAAGAGUUAAGCUUUGUAAAGCCUUGAAGUCAGUAAAAAAGAAUGCUUGAGUUCUAAGGGUAGCUGUGGAGACCAAGGUUCUUGUUACGUAGGUGAAGCCUCCGGGUAACUGCUUUCAGAGAGAAUAGGUGGUAAAUGUCUCCUUUUGGACCCUUAAAGGGGUCAGAGUCUUAAUCUCCUCUAGACCUGGGAAAGGCUGAACCGUAUUAAGCGAGAUUCUCUGCAGUUCUCUGCAGUUCCCCCCAAAAGAUGGCUUCACAGUGCCAUUUCAAAAUAUGUCAAAGAAAUAUAUUUGGUAGUAAAAUAUUUUUAUUUCCUUCAGUCUGCCAUGUGAUGCUACACCAGAGUCAGGCUGGAAUUUGGAAUUUUAUUGCCACGAAGAGUCUGUUGUGUCAGUCUUAUGAUGUCUGUUUUAAUGUUAAUGCUGGUCAGUGCUGCCUGAACUCCUAAAGGGAGGGAGUACGAUGAGGUGUGUCCAACCUCCUUUUCCAUCAUGGCCAGGAAUUUGGUUUUCAGACUUCUCUGGGAUCCCCUUGGCCCAUAGGGGGAUUCAUAAUUGGUUAGGGGGCUUAGGAUUUUAUUUUUGUUUUACAGAUUUUAGUCCCCCCAAAUUCUCAAAUAGAAUUUAAACCUAUGGAUUAUGAACAAUCAAAGGAAAAAAUGAACAUGGUGAUAACUAGACACAAACAUGGAUUUAUUACAGAUAAAUUUUGUCUAACUCAUUUGAUUUGGGGUAAGAGUGUUAAGUUAGUAUAUCAGAAGAAUUAGAUAGUUAUUACUAUAACCAUAAUACUCACAAGGAAUUUAACAAAAAUUUUCUCACAUUCUUCUUAAAUAUAGACUAGAUUCUAGUUAAGUAAAAUGUACAGCAUGGGCUGGGCAUGGUGGCUCAUGCCUGUAAUCCCAGCACUUUGGGAAGCCAAGG
rnacentral:lncRNA from 1 species